GAGCAAACUGAAGAAAUUCUUCAAGCCUCA
rnacentral:piRNA from 1 species